UGACUCCUUGAGAGUCCUGAAGGAACGUUGAAGACGACGACGUUGAUAGGCCGGGUGUGUAAGCGCAGCGAUGCGUUGAGCUAACCGGUACUAAUGAACCGUGAGGCUUAACCUUACAACGCCGAAGMUGUU
rnacentral:rRNA from 1 species